ACGCUAUGCAGUGGAUCACUUGGCUCGGGGGUCAAUGAAGAUUGCAGCUAGCUACGAGUCGGAAUGUGAACUGCAGGACACAUGAACAUCGACAUAUUGAAAUCAUAUUG
rnacentral:rRNA from 1 species